UACGGAGGGUGCGAGCGUUGUCCGGAAUCACUGGGCGUAAAGGGCGCGUAGGCGGCCUGAUAAGUAGGGGGUGAAAUCCUGCGGCUUAACCGCAGGGCUGCCUUCUAAACUGUCAGGCUAGAGCACAGUAGAGGCAGGUGGAAUUCCCGGUGUAGCAGUGAAAUGCGUAGAGAUCGGGAGGAACACCAGUGGCGAAGGCGACUCUCUGGUCUGUAACUGACGCUGAGGCGCGAAAGCGUGGGGAGCAAACAGG
rnacentral:rRNA from 1 species